UGCUGCCUAUAAAGCCCAUCUGCUGCCUGGCUCAUCAGCUCCCUGUCCCCGCUGUCCUGAGACCCACCGACCCGCGCUGCAGCCCGGACCCACCGCAACCGCGAAGAUGACGACCCGGGUCGUCAUAUUUUUCAAGACCAUGCAAGCGGCGCGAUGCCCGACGGAUGAGCUGUCGCUGACUAACUGUGCCGUGGUGAGCGAGAAGGAUCUGCAGUCGGGACAACACGUGACCGUGAAGCCGACGCCCAACCACAAGUUUGCAUUUACAGUCAAGACCCAUCACACUGUGGCACCUGGAAGCAUCGCCUUCAGCCUGCCGCAGAGGAAAUGGGCCGGACUCUCCAUCGGUCAGGAGGUGGAAGUUUCCAACUACAACUUUGACAAGUCCAGGCAGUGCAUCGGCUCCAUGACGAUCGAGAUUGACUUCCUGCAGAAGAAGAGCACCGACUCCUCUCCCUACGACUCCGACAAGAUGGCCGCCGAGUUCAUCCAGCAGUUCAACAACCAGGCGUUCUCCGUCACGCAGCAGCUCGUGUUCAGCUUCUGCGACAAGCUGUUCGGUUUGAUGGUGAAGGACAUCGAGGCGAUGGACGCCAGCAUCCUCAAAGGAGAGCCGGCCACUGGGAAGAAGCAGAAGAUCGACGUGGGCCUGAUGGUGGGAAACAGCCAGGUGGUGUUUGAGAAGGCCGAGAAUUCUUCCCUCACACUCGUCGGAAAGGCAAAGACCAAGGAGGCUCGACAGACGAUCAUCAACCCCGAGUGGAACUUUGAGAAGAUGGGAAUCGGAGGUCUGGACCGGGAGUUCUCCGACAUCUUCCGCAGAGCCUUCGCUUCCCGAGUCUUCCCUCCAGACAUCGUGGAGCAGAUGGGGUGUAAGCACGUGAAGGGCAUCAUGCUGUUCGGCCCUCCAGGCUGCGGUAAAACACUGAUGGCCCGGCAGAUCGGCAAGAUGCUCAACGCCCGAGAGCCGAAGGUCGUCAACGGCCCAGAGAUCCUCAACAAGUACGUGGGAGAGUCUGAGGCCAACAUCCGCAAACUGUUCGCUGAGGCAGAGGACGAGCAGAAGAGGCUGGGAGCCAACAGCGGCCUCCACAUCAUCAUCUUCGACGAGCUGGACGCCAUCUGCAAGCAGAGAGGCACGGGCGCCAGCAGCACGGGCGUGCACGACACCGUGGUCAACCAGCUUCUGUCUAAGAUCGACGGCGUGGAGCAGCUCAACAACAUCCUGGUCAUUGGUAUGACCAACAGACCCGACCUGAUCGACGACGCUCUGAUGAGGCCCGGCAGGUUCGAGGUCAAGAUGGAAAUCAGUCUGCCCGAUGAGAAGGGGCGGGUCCAGAUCCUGACCAUUCACACCAACAAGAUGCGAGGCUUCAAUCUUCUGGCCAAUGACGUCGACAUCAAGGAACUGGCGGCUGAGACCAAGAAUUACAGCGGAGCAGAACUGGAGGGUCUGGUCCGGGCGGCUCAGUCCACCGCCAUGAACCGGCACAUCAAGGCCACAUCCACAGUGGAGGUGAACAUGGAGCAAGCAGAGAAGCUGAAGGUCACCAGAUCCGACUUCUUCGGAUCCCUCAACAUCGACAUCAAACCCGCGUUCGGUACCAACACGGAGGAUUACUCCAGCUACAUCAUGAACGGCAUCAUCAAGUGGGGCGACCCGGUCACUCACGUUCUGGAGGACGGGGAGCUGCUGGUGCAGCAGACCAAGAACAGUGAUCGCACACCACUGGUGGCUGUGUUAGUGGAGGGCCCCCCCCACAGUGGAAAGACGGCCCUGGCAGCUAAGAUUGCAGAGGAUUCUCAGUUCCCCUUCAUUAAGAUGUGCUCUCCAGACAAGAUGAUUGGACACUCGGAGAUCUCCAAGUGCCAGGCAAUCAAAAAGGUCUUUGAGGAUGCUUACAAGUCCCAGCUCAGCUGUGUGGUGGUGGACGAUAUCGAGCGUCUGCUGGACUACGUCCCCAUCGGCCCUCGUUUCUCUAACUUGGUCCUCCAGGCUCUGCUGGUGCUCCUGAAGAAAGCUCCACCCAAGGGUCGGAAACUGCUCAUCAUCGGCACCACCAGCAGGAAGGAUGUGCUGCAGGAGAUGGAGAUGCUGGACGCCUUCAGCACCACCAUCCACAUCCCGAACAUCUCCACCGGGGAGCAGCUCGUCGACGCUCUAGAGCUGCUCGGGAACUUCUCGGAUAAAGAGCGAGCCAACAUCGCUCAGCAGCUCAAAGGGAAGCGCGUGUGGAUCGGCAUCAAGAAGCUUCUCGUGCUCAUCGAGAUGUCCCUGCAGAUGGACGAGGAUUACAGAGUGACCAAGUUCUUGUCUCUGCUCAGAGACGAGGGGGCGUUGAAUGAAGGAGAUCAAAUCAGAAUUUAACACGUCCGUCGCUUUCCCCCGUGCACCGCGCUGCCACCGGAGAGAGACACACGAGGAAAAGAGACACAGAGCUGAGCUGCAGAGACGCCUGCACACACUGCUCGACACUUUGAUGGCCGCAAUUUCUACGAGUAGAAGAAGGAAACAAGCAUCUUGCCAUCAACAAGCCAAUCCAUGGGACACAACGAGGAAGAGGAGGAGGAGAAGAAGAGAUCUUCCUCCUGUCUACUCACCCACUGAUCCGUCUGAAUACAGUCCAAGUCUAUGAGAGACAGCAGUCCUCUUUAUCUCCGCAUGUUUCCACAGCCAGACUCACCUCCCUCCUCCUCCUCCUCAUCUUCGUCAUCCAACGCUGACAACACACACAGCAAACCACUGGAAGUCGUACACUGUUAUAAACCUGUCAUCUGUAAAGAAGUUGCAAUAGAUGAUUGUAAAAAGUGCUGUUUUGUGCAUCAAGCAUUAAGAAGUUGUGUGUUUUUUAGCCGUAGUGUUUGAUGUAUUUGUUGCAUAUCUCUUGUUUAGCUGAUGUAGUUGUUGUUUCCUCACACACGAGAGCAGUAUAAACACAUCCCAAUCCUGAAGUCAAUACUACGACGACCAGGGGCUUUUAGUGAAAGUGUAGUGGCUGUAAAAAGACGCCGUCCAUGUGUAAAUGUUUCCUUUAAUUAUACAGUAUGUCCACGUUCUGUAAAUAGUAUAUAUAGACAAAAGGUAUAUCUUAAAAACGAUAUAAAUGACGUCUCCGGUUUAUUUGGUACUUUAUCAGUAUAUGAUUCUUCUUCCCUGUUGCUCCAGAGAUGUUUGACUGUGAUAGUGAAAGUGAUUAUUGGGUAGUGGGUCUGUCUGUGUGCGUUGUGUUGCGUACAGUUCAGUUCAGUCCGAGUGUAGCUGCGGCGUCAUCAGUGUUACAAAAGACGACAAAACUAAUAAAAAAAACUCUGCACUUUUAACUUCCACUCAACAAAAACCUUUAGUACUUAUCUCAUCUGUUACUUGUGGGAAUUGGAGCUUGUGUCCACUCGUGUGCAUGUGUGAGGAACUGCUGCAUGUGUGUGUGUGUGCGUGUGCAUCUGAAUCCAGGUUUUGACGGUUGAUGGUUAAUUUGUAUUUUUUUCUCACGUCACGUGUUCAGUGCUUCUCGUCCACAGUUCUUGUUUCGUUCGUGUGUGUAAAUAUAUGUCAAUAUGCAGAUGUAUUAUUGCAAUAAAAAUAACACAGAUGCACAAGAAAAA